GAGUUUGAUCUUGGCUCAGAUUGAACGCUGGCGGCAUGCCUUACACAUGCAAGUCGAACGGCAGCACGGGAGCUUGCUCCUGGUGGCGAGUGGCGAACGGGUGAGUAAUGCAUCGGAACGUAUCCUGGAGUGGGGGAUAACGUAGCGAAAGUUACGCUAAUACCGCAUAUUCUGUGAGCAGGAAAGCGGGGGACCUUCGGGCCUCGCGCUCUUGGAGCGGCCGAUGUCGGAUUAGCUAGUUGGUGAGGUAAGGGCUCACCAAGGCGACGAUCCGUAGCAGGUCUGAGAGGAUGAUCUGCCACACUGGAACUGAGACACGGUCCAGACUCCUACGGGAGGCAGCAGUGGGGAAUUUUGGACAAUGGGGGCAACCCUGAUCCAGCCAUGCCGCGUGAGUGAAGAAGGCC
rnacentral:rRNA from 1 species